GAGCUGAGGACGUGGCGCAUGCGCAGUGUGUGGGGCCACCCUUUCUGUCAAAGAGUUUGGGAAGUGGAGUGAGAUUGUGAGGAGGGAUACGGAGAUUGCUCUGCGAUAGGCAUGUACUCCGAAAGCAAAGCGUGUAAGCAGUUGGAGGUUCGCUGUUGAUAGAAAUGUUGCCGGGAGCUUCCGGACUAAAUGGGAAUGGUCUGUUUGUGAAACAGAAUAAUGGGGUCAACCCUCGAACUUCUUUCAGAAUGGCCAGAGAAGAUUCUGUGAAGUGUCUACGCUGCUCCCUUUAUGCGAUAAAUUUUCUUUUCUGGCUGAUGUCAGUGUGUGUUCUGGGUGUGUCUGCAUGGAUGAGAGAUUACCUGAAUAAUGUACUUGUGUUAACAACAGAGACCAGGCUGGAAGAAGCAUUCGUUUUGACAUAUUUUUCAGUGAUCCACCCCAUAAUGAUUGCUGUGUGCUGUUUUUUAAUAAUAGUUGGAAUGCUAGGCUGCUGUGGAACAAUAAAGGGAAAUCCAUUGCUGCUUGCUUGGUAUUUUGGUAUCCUACUUGUAAUAUUCUGUGUGGAACUAGCCUGUGGAAUAUGGAGCUAUGAUCAGGAUUAUUUGAUCUCCAUUCAAAGGUCUGAUGUGCUUGAGCUGAAGACUAGAAUGUCUCAUUAUGGUAUGGCCAGGUACCAGUGGUUAACUCAUGCCUGGAAUUUCUUUCAGAAGGAGUUCAAGUGUUGCGGAGUGGCAUACUUUUCAGAUUGGUUGGAAAUGACAGAAAUGGAGUGGCCUCCUGACUCCUGCUGCAUUAGAGAAUUUCCUACGUGCUCUAAACAAGUCCACAAUGGGCAACAUAUUGAGAUUUAUCAAGAGGGCUGUGGACAGAAAAUAUACAACUUCCUGCGUGGCACAAAGCAAUUACAAGUGUUGAAGUUUCUUGGGAUUUCCAUUGGAGUGACACAGUUACUGGCCAUGAUACUCACUAUUACAUUGCUUUGGGCAUUAUACUAUGACAAAAAGGAACCAAGAACUGGCCAAAGGAUGGGCCCAAAACACCUGAGUGUCCAACACUUUGCCUGUCAUUCAAUAGAAUUAAUGAAGCAUGUCCCAAAGAGCAAUGAGCUGAGACAGGCAGGCGCAGCUCACAACUUUUGUACACACUUUGAAAUAGAGGAAUUGUAGCUGGAAUUGAGCAAAUCAGAUGGAUGCUGGAAUCAUGGCAUGAAAAUGUCUUUUACCAUUGCAACGGAUAUCACUUUAGAAUUUUGAAAGGACUUCUGAAUUCUGUAUAACAGUAUCAGACCAAAAAAUGUUUAAGAGGCUGAGAAAGAAACUUUUCAGCAAAGAUACAAAACGAUACAAGUAUUGAAACACUCAAGAUUUUAAAACUUACUAUCUCCAACACUGAAAAAUGUGAAGCUAUGAUAUCUAUGUAUUUAGAAUUAUUUUUAUCAAAAAUUAUUAUAUAUGUUAUAAUUAUGCAAUAUUAUAUAAUAAUUCUAUAUAAAUCUCUUACCUGAAAUUCUAUGACUUAUACAUUGUUUUUUUCCCUACGAGAGUGUUCUCUUCUUUCUACUCAAAUUUUUCUCCUGGGCAACAUGUUAAGUCCAACUAAUUGGCGAACGAACCUUCAUUUGACCUUAUAUUUGUAUUGUCCUUUUUAAUUGCCAGAAAGUACAUGAAUAACCCAGAAUGACAACUAUACACAGUGCAUGACUUUCUGUUUAAAGCUAAACCUUAAUUGUUUUCAUUAAAAUUAUGGAGUACUAAAUUUAAAUCCUUGAUCUGCGUGAAAACAUCGUAGAUUACAGAUUCUUUAUGAAGUGAUUAUUCAUUCUCAGAAUGUGGUCAUUACGAGAAAGGCUCAUACUGGUUCAUUGCUCGUGGCCCUGUGUCGAUCAUGCAGAGGCUGCUUCUUGAACUGUUGUAUGGUCAUGUGGUGAACAUAUUCCCCUGAUAAGAGUUCCAGCAUUACAACAUUUUGACCUGCCGAAAAUGGAGGAAUUUCAGGUUGAUUGAGAACUUUUAGUGAUGUGCUGCCAUGCAAUUCCUAUACUUAUUUUAUAGGCUGAAUUUGGGAUUUGCUAAUGUUGAAGACUUGAUGUGUUGCUGCAGUGCAUUCUGUUGUUUAUCUCUGCUGUUAUGAUACACCAUUGGUGGAGGGCAGUAGCGAAAUAAGUUUGUUCAUCUGAGGGAUGCUGAGGAUCGAGAGUUGGUAUGACGGACAUAAGAAUUCACAUGAAUAAGGUUCGGUUGAGAACGAUAAAAUGCCAUUGUAUGUGUAUCAGAUACUAAGUUGGGAAUUACAAGCAGAGCCUAGAAGAUGGCAGAGAUUCCUAAUUUGGAGGCGAUCUUCCAAAAUCAUGUUAGUUGACCUCAAAGUUAUUGAAUGAAGUUAGAAUGCUUCUGGUCCAGCAGUAGGAGCACAUGACUUCUCUGACAAGUAAAUAUUGAACUGCUUCUUUUUGGAUUAUCUCAAACCUUGAGUGUGGCUCCAGUUACACCCACCCUGGGGAGUAUUUCCCUCACAUUCCUGAUUUGAGCCUUGUAGAUGUGCCCUCACUGUUAUCCAGUCUUGCUGCAUGCAGAUAUGAAUUGUUUCAUGUGUGAGGAAUUGCUCAUUGAGCUUCACACUGAUAAUUGUUCAGUGAACUGUCCCAUUUCUGACCUUCAUUGUGAAAUAAGGUCAUUGAUGAAGCAGCUGAAGAUAAUAGGGAUUAUAAAUCAUCUUCAAUACCUAACUAUUUAACAAAUAUUUGUGAAUUAAAUGUCUCCCAAUGGACAAUGUUCUUAAAUAAUAAUAAUCUGUUGGUCUUAGAAAAUGUUACAGCAGCAUGUCAGUUCCACAGAGGAGAGAGUCUCGAAGAUGCUUCUAAAAACAAAGUGAACAUUUGUGUUUACCAUCAAAAUUGCAAAUUAUAAUUUUGUUUAGUAUAGUUAAAUCUCUUGCACAACUCAGAAAAUGAAAAUUCUUAGUGUAUUCUAGUCUUCUCUACAUUCUUCCAAUAUUAUAAACAGAAGUGGCAGUGUGUCAUUUGUCCCAUCAAGCCUACCCUGCCAUUUAACAUGAUCUUGUCUGAGCCUCUAUCUCAAUGCUAUACUUCUGCUCUUGCCCCACACCCUAAUAAAUCCUCAGGCUUUGGAAAUCAAUUGAUUUAUUAUUUAAAUAUAUUCAGUGACGUGACCUCCAUAGCUUUCUCCACAGUGGUAGAGAAUGCCACAAAUUCCCCUUCCUCUUUGUGAACAAGUUUGUCAUCAUAGUUCAAGAUGUCCUGCUGUGUACCUUGAGACCAUGAGCCCUUGUUCUGGAGCCCCAGUAAAGGGAAACAAGAUCCCCGCAUUCAGCCUGUCCAGCCCUGCCAAUAAUUGUAUCUGUUUCAGUGAGAUUCUCAUACAUUCCUGUGAAUAUAGACCCAGUCAACACAAUGUUUUCUCAUAUGCCAAACCUGCCAUACAGUCUCUGUGAAGCUCUCUGGCAGAAAGGAGAUGAAAACUGCACAGAGUCCUUCAGAUGGGGUCUCAGCAAGUUCUCUGUUCAUCGGCAGUAUGUCUUCCUUGCUUCUGUACAUAAACUAUCUUGCAUUGAUGCUCAACAUACCAUUUGCCUUCAUGACUGUUAUUACGUGCUUGCUUUCACUGACUGAUGUGCAAGGACAUAUGGGGUUGGAGGGCUGGGUGUCCCUGUGUAUACCAUCGUUUUCCAGCCCAUCACGUUUAAAUGUUACUCUGCCGUUCUGACUUUCCUAGCAAAGUGAACAACUUCACACAUCAUACCUUUAUUGGUGUGCAUUUCCCCACUCGCUCAACUUGUCUAAGUCAUCAUAAAGAUUCUUUACUCCAACAACCAACCGUCCCCCCCACCCACCCGCCACGUGCCAAAAUACCAGUUUUCUGUGUUAAGCAAACUUGGAAAUAUUACAUUUGAUUCUGUUAUCCAAAUCGGUGACACAUAUGUUGUGAAUACCUGGGGCCACAGCACUGUUCCCUCCAGUACCCCAUUUAUCACCACUUUCUAUUCUAAGAAUAGCCAAUAAUAAAAAGGUGAUGGGGAUAGGGUGGGAUGCUCUUUGGAGGGUUGGUUCAGACUAGAUGGGCUGA